CUCUCUCUCUAGAUACCCAGCAAAAUGUAGAGAGAGAAAGCUCCACCAAUCAAUCAACCAUGGUGUCCUCCUCUCAAAACACCAAUAAAAGCCCUCCAUUCCCACCUCGCCGCAAAGCUCACCAACCUCACAAUUCCACCUUCUGUCAGGACCCACCCCGAAUUUCACCCUGAAACCCGAAGUAAAUCCUGCGGGGAUCACCUCCAAGGAAAGUUUAUCGAAAAUUCGGCAUAACCUCUCUUGAAAAUGGACGACCCUUCCUAAUAAAACCUGCAUACACUUCUGAUAAACCAAAACCAACCUUAAACUCCUGGAGCCUUCGUGCUCUCCCAAAUCACAACAUCUCCAAAUUAUUUACUAACUUUAAUAAGAAUAAUCCCACAACCAACAAUCAUAGUUCAGAGCAAUUCUAAUUGAGAGGAAAUGAACUAGAAAUUUAGAAAUGAGCGGAAGCUAUACUAUUGACUAUGCCUCUUCUCCAUGUACGUCCGACCUCAACUAUGCUAACCUGCAAACUGGGCAUUUUUAAAACGAAGGGCCUAGGGGAAAACAUUUGAAAACGUUAGAGUGAGUGGACAAAAGUAAGUUUAACAAAAACGAGCAACAAAAAUCUUUAUGCUUUCCCAAUUGAUUUCCAUAGAAAUUAUAUUGCAUGCGACAGCUCAAAAAGCUCUCAACAAAAUUUUCCGAAAUUAUCAAAACGUGACUAGCCGCGUUAGUCCCCAACACCUCAUAAAAAUAGAGCCUCUCAAGCUAAAAUAAAAUAUGUAUGUAUUACACUCGUCAUAUCCCUUGUAUGAAUUUUCUUGAAACAACAAAGACAAAUAGAAAUUCACAUAAGGCUACGACGCUUGCGUCUAACGCUCACGUCGCACCAUAAUGAAAUUUUAUCUCAUUAUAAUGGAAAAGACGGUGUAUAUGUAUACGCGCAUAUCCCCUAUAUAAAUUAUUAUAAUUAUAUAGGGUUACGACGAUUGUGUCUAACGCUCACGUCGCACCAUAAUGAAAUUUUUCCUCAUUAUGGUGGAAAAGCACGUAUAGCUAGCUAGCAUUUCUUUAUAUACAUAUUAUUCUCAUAAUCAUCCAAAUACAUAUCCACCGAAAAUGUCUUUUUCGGUAACUCUCCAAAAUAAUAAAAAUUGCCAAUUACAAAAGAGGCUAUAAAAGUAUGGCUCUACCGAAAGAUCCCAUUUUCUGUAACUUUUCAAAUAGCGAAGUUAACAAAUAAAAUAUGAAUAAUCACUUCUGAAAAUACUUCGCAGAAAUCAAUCGUAAAAUGAAAUUAUUCCACAAAUUAAGAUUCAAUAAUAUAAAAAUCAACCAUCAAUAAAUAUGAGACCAUCACAUGCAUUUAAUUUAAAACAAACGUCCACUCAUAACUUUAGGCAUAAGCUUAGGCAUAAGCCCGACAAAAUCCAAUUCGGCACUCAAGUGAUUCGGCAUUCAAGUGAGGUUUCCUCAAAACCUGACACAAAAACCAUGCUUAGGACCACACUUCAAUUUCAGAAUAAAUAAUACUUAGAUAUAUAACUCAAAACUCUUCCGCCUAACCCACUACCCCUUCUAGGGUUAAGCUUAUCAGAUUCACGCCAAAAUCCAACCACAGCCUUAUUUCCUUUAUUUCAACAUUCUAAAACAAUAAUAAGAAAAAUCCAACGGUCUGAUUCUUCCCCAUUAAUCGCCAAAUUCACCGAUCUUUCAAAAAUCCAAAACCUAUUCAAAACUCCUCCAAAAAUUCCAAACUUCAUACCAAUAACUCCCCUUAAUAUAACACACUUAAAACCAUGAAAACCCCCUUAACAGCAGCGGCGGCCUGCGGCCGACUCCGGCGACCCCAAUGCCUACCAAAAUUUAACAGCAUCUUCCUCUCAACCCCCUCUACGACUUUGCUAACUAGCACAAACACAAAUUCCAAGCCUAGAUAGGGUAAUCGACUUAAAACAGUAAAUUGAGCCCUAGAGUUUCAAUCAUUGAUUCCUCCUUACCAAGUACUAAUCGAACCAAAACCUUUCGAGGGAUUACCACCCUAGCUGAGAGUUACAAGACGAGCCAAAGAUCGUUGGCUAUGGCGGCCGGAGGAGGGAGCUCCGACGAGAGGGCAGCCAGACUUCCAAAGGCGAUUUCCUCCACACGGCAGCGGUAGGGGUUCGGUCACCUACCCAGAAAUGGAGAGGAGGAGACAGCCGACUGAAAGGGACCGGAGCGGCGGUCUGCGGUGGCCGGACGGUCGCGCUGAAGAUCCGGCAGGGAAAGGGAGUCGGGAAAAGGAGAGAGAAGAGAAAGAGAAGAAAAGGAGAAGGAAGGGAAUGGGCCUUUUAACCGGUCCUCAAACCCAAUUAAUCCCAACCUAACACCAAAAAUUUACACCACAAAAUAAAUCAAAUAAUACCCUAAUAAAAAUUACCUUUUACUAGCUAAAAUUUACCAUUUUACCAUCGUCACAAUUUUCUCCUACGAUUAUUUCUACCGAAAUAAUCGUCCCUCAAAACCCUUCUAGGGACCAAUUAAAUCAUAACUCAUUGACAGAGACUGUAGAAUCUUUAUUAAUACCAAGCUAGUAAAUAAGGUAAAAAUUUAAGGGUCGGGAUGUGACACUUUCCUCCUCCUCCUCAUCUCCGCCUCAAGACUUCGACUUCAACGACGUCUUCGGCCCCCCAACCGCCUCCAG
rnacentral:lncRNA from 1 species